UACGUAGGGACCAAGCGUUGUUCGGAUUUACUGGGCAUAAAGGGCGCGUAGGCGCAAUUCAAGUCAUCUGUGAAAUCUCUGGGCUUAACCCAGAACGGCCAGAUGAUACUGCUUUGCUAGAGUGCAGAAGGGGCAAUCGGAAUUCUUGGUGUAGCGGUGAAAUGCGUAGAUAUCAAGAGGAACACCUGAGGUGAAGACGGGUUGCUGGGCUGACACUGACGCUGAGGCGCGAAAGCCAGGGGAGCAAACGGG
rnacentral:rRNA from 1 species